rnacentral:rRNA from 1 species
CUGGCGGCCUUAGCGCGGUGGUCCCACCUGACCCCAUGCCGAACUCAGAAGUGAAACGCCGUAGCGCCGAUGGUAGUGUGGGGUUUCCCCAUGCGAGAGUAGGGAACUGCCAGGC